GUUUAACCAACUGAGCCACCCAGGCGCCCUGAGUACAGCUUCCUUUCACGAUGGCAGCUUUCCUGAGGCACCAGCGCAGGGCGUGUGGGAGCCCCUGCCCUUGGGGUAUACCCACAGUGCUACGGCAAGGAGAGAACCAGCAUCCCAUCCAGACAGAAGCUGUACCCCGGGCUCCUGGAGUUUCUAGAAGUGCUUACCCUUCGGCUUUCCCUGCAUAUGAGCACACUAACAUCUGUUUUCAGAGACAAGAAAACCGGUACAGAAGUGAAAGUUUCUUCAAAAAAUGAAGUUUUAUUCAAGAUAAACAAAGGAUAAGAGCAAAUCAUCAAAUCAGACCACUCAAAGUCAUUUCACAAAUAUUUUUAUCAAGAAGGUCACCAGUGAAAGCCCCCCAAACAGUGGGUAUCUAUGCCACAUUUUUACUUUUAGGACAGGGACAAGUAAACAAGCUGCUGCUCAGAACAUAUUCCUUGAAGAGAAGGAAGUUCCAAGAUUCAUCAUUAGGAUCAGUACAGGUUCAACUCAGUCCCUAGGCCUCUGUAAUAAUUCGUGUCCAGAGUCAUCUCCAAAGAAAAGCAACUUUAAAGAAUGUUCUACAUGGGUGUUUUUACUGUACCAUAGUCUAAUUGUUUGGAAACUGGUUGGCAUUCUACCAAUGGAAAAGUGGGCCUUCAGUUACCGGACUAAUCUGUUCCCCGGUCUGCUUGGAUAGUAUUUCCUGAACAAUCAACAACAUAGUAGAGGGAAAAGAGCAACUCAGGGGCAAAUGAGAAAUGCUGAGGACAUAUGUAUGCCCUAAAAUAUGAAUUUUAAGCUAAAUAACAACAGUUAAAUAAUGUAUUGCCAAAAUCCA